UCCCCUUCAUGGGUCACAGGGGCAUUUUCCUUCAACUUUGGAUCCUUUGAGAUAUUGUAAUUGGACUUUAUCCAGCUGCCUCUAUCUCAGGGUUACCAGUGUGUUCUGGUAUUAAUUUGCGUUUCUGUCAUUGGGGGUUGAAACAUUUCCAUGCUGACAAGUCAUGGCCAAAGUAAUAGGAAAAGUGUUAUUAGAAAAGUUUUUUUUUUUUUUUUUUUUCCAUAGGGAGUUCAAUCUGAGCUCCAUGGCGACUGAGGAACACACUUCACUGGUCAGCAUGGAAUGAGAUUACCAGGGAAUGUGCUUUCCCAAUGAUGAGGGACAUCUUCACGCUGGGACUUUGAAAGAACUAUCCAGGAAUGAGCUUUUCCAGCAAUGAGGGACAUCUUGACACACAGAUUUUGAUCAUCAAUGUUUUCAAGAAGAAACACUUUUUAUCAAAAAAGAGAAAUGAGUAAAGAAAAGAACUUCUAUCUGAGGAAUGUGAGCCCUUUCAAAUUAUCAGGCCCAGAAAGGCAUUCAAAUGAAAUAACAAUCACAUCCUACUUCCCCCCAUUUGGAGCUAUGUAUUUAUCUAUAAAAACUGCAAACUCUUGCCACAGGUAGCUACAAAUUAAUCUAAUAAUGCUACACUGGACACAAUAUCCAACACCCUAUACCAUAAAAAUAUAUAGCCAAUCAAUAAUCAACGUAAUUUCUGUAAACCAGUGAAAAUUCCUGACGAACAACUUUGUGAUAGCCCACUGCCUGCCAUUUUUUGCCUUCAAAAACCUGCUUGUAACACAGGCCAAAUGGAGCUCAUAUCCAAGGUUACUUGGGUCUGAGUCUUCCAGGCAGCUUUCCUUACUUUGGCUCAGGUUAACUCUUUCAAUCAUAUUUUGUGCUUUAGCCUCUUCUUUUGGGAUUGACACCAGGCAGAUGUAUCUGAGACACAGAAACAACGUCUCAUAGAAUCUCAUAUCUCUGAAGGUUUGUUACAUUUUUUACUUAUUUCAGUAAAAUUUUCAGAAAGUUUUUGGAGGAAAUAAUUGAGGAGUUUCACUGGAAAACAAUGCUUUCCCCAGAGAGCAUAAAAUAACAUCCAGCAACAUCUGGCAGUUUUGGCUAUAUCUCAAUGAGCUUUGCUUUGGCAUGGCCUCAAGGAAAAACAAAUAAAAAGCAUUGCUGAGACAACUGCUUAAGGUCGGAGCAUUCCAAAUGGCAGAGGAAGCCAUGAUCUGGCCGCUGUGGAAUGAAGUAUGAUGGGAAGAGAGUGAUGUGUGUGAGCUCAAGGUGAACUGUCAGUAUAAUGGCAUAGAUACACUAUCAAAGUGUGCCAAAGAUCCAUUCCAAUAAAAACAUUCACUAUUGCCUCAAUACACCUCAAUGCAAACAUCCAUGCCUCUUUGUAUCAGUAGCAGAGGCAGAAUUUCCUUUCUAUUUUUCCCACUUUUGUUUAAGACACAGUAAUUCCAUGUCUUUAGGCCUGAAUUUGAUUCCUUCCUCUUCUUCAACUCUCAUAUCCAAUAAAGUAUAUUGGAAAUCUCUG
rnacentral:lncRNA from 1 species